rnacentral:rRNA from 1 species
GUGGGGAAUAUUGCACAAUGGGGGAAACCCUGAUGCAGCGACGCCGCGUGAGUGAAGAAGUAUUUCGGUAUGUAAAGCUCUAUCAGCAGGGAAGAACAUGACGGUACCUGACUAAGAAGCCCCGGCUAACUACGUGCCAGCAGCCGCGGUAAUACGUAGGGGGCAAGCGUUAUCCGGAUUUACUGGGUGUAAAGGGAGCGUAGACGGUGAAGCAAGUCUGAAGUGAAAGCCCGCGGCUUAACUGCGGGACUGCUUUGGAAACUGUUUUACUAGAGUGCUGGAGAGGUAAGUGGAAUUCCUAGUGUAGCGGUGAAAUGCGUAGAUAUUAGGAGGAACACCAGUUGCGAAGGCGGCUCUCUGGACUGUAACUGACACUGAGGCACGAAAGCGUGGGGAGCAAACAGG